CUGCUGUGACUAGUUUUGCGUAUGAAGAACCAUGGACGAGUAUGUUAAAAUAUUUGAGCUGUUUAUUCAUGAAAAUCUGCACUUUGCUGUUGAAGUUUAACUAUUUCAAAAUGACAUUUUUCACACUGAAUUUUUCAGGAUAGAUUCACAUCUAUUUAAGUGCUCCCUGAAAAACUGAUUGUCUUUUAUUUAUUCACGUAGACUUCUGCACACAAUAAAAACACAGAUUCGUUUCAAUCAUAUUUGCCACUGGACAUUCAGCAACCGGCAACAAUCAAUCAAUCAAUCAAUCAAUCAAUCAAUUCGCAAUGCUCCCGC
rnacentral:lncRNA from 1 species